AUGCUUACUUGAGCAGCACAUAUACUAAAAUUGGAAUGAUGCAGAGAAGAUUAGCAUGGUCCCUGCACAAGGAUGACACACAAACUCAUGAAGCAGUCUAUAUUUUU